UACGAGGGGGGGCAAGCGUUGUUCGGAAUUAUUGGGCGUAAAGGGUGCGUAGGUGGUUCGGCAAGUCUUGUGUGAAAUCUUCAGGCUCAACUUGAAGUCUGCACAAGAAACUGCCGGGCUUGAGUAUGGGAGAGGUGAGUGGAAUUUCCGGUGUAGCGGUGAAAUGCGUAGACAUCGGAAGGAACACCUGUGGCGAAAGCGGCUCACUGGACCAUUACUGACACUGAGGUACGAAAGCUAGGGGAGCAAACAGG
rnacentral:rRNA from 1 species